GAUGAACGCUGGCGGCGUGCCUAAUACAUGCAAGUCGAGCGAACGGACGAGAAGCUUGCUUCUCUGAUGUUAGCGGCGGACGGGUGAGUGACACGUGGAUAACCUACCUAUAAGACUGGGAUAACUUCGGGAAACCGGAGCUAAUACCGGAUGAUAUUUUGAACCGCAUGGUUCAAAAGUGAAAGACGGUCUUGCUGUCACUUAUAGAUGGAUCCGCGCUGCAUUAGCUAGUUGGUAAGGUAACGGCUUACCAAGGCAACGAUGCAUAGCCGACCUGAGAGGGUGAUCGGCCACACUGGAACUGAGACACGGUCCAGACUCCUACGGGAGGCAGCAGUAGGGAAUCUUCCGCAAUGGGCGAAAGCCUGACGGAGCAACGCCGCGUGAGUGAUGAAGGUCUUCGGAUCGUAAAACUCUGUUAUUAGGGAAGAACAUAUGUGUAAGUAACUGUGCACAUCUUGACGGUACCUAAUCAGAAAGCCACGGCUAACUACGUGCCAGCAGCCGCGGUAAUACGUAGGUGGCAAGCGUUAUCCGGAAUUAUUGGGCGUAAAGCGCGCGUAGGCGGUUUUUUAAGUCUGAUGUGAAAGCCCACGGCUCAACCGUGGAGGGUCAUUGGAAACUGGAAAACUUGAGUGCAGAAGAGGAAAGUGGAAUUCCAUGUGUAGCGGUGAAAUGCGCAGAGAUAUGGAGGAACACCAGUGGCGAAGGCGACUUUCUGGUCUGUAACUGACGCUGAUGUGCGAAAGCGUGGGGAUCAAACAGGAUUAGAUACCCUGGUAGUCCACGCCGUAAACGAUGAGUGCUAAGUGUUAGGGGGUUUCCGCCCCUUAGUGCUGCAGCUAACGCAUUAAGCACUCCGCCUGGGGAGUACGACCGCAAGGUUGAAACUCAAAGGAAUUGACGGGGACCCGCACAAGCGGUGGAGCAUGUGGUUUAAUUCGAAGCAACGCGAAGAACCUUACCAAAUCUUGACAUCCUUUGACAACUCUAGAGAUAGAGCCUUCCCCUUCGGGGGACAAAGUGACAGGUGGUGCAUGGUUGUCGUCAGCUCGUGUCGUGAGAUGUUGGGUUAAGUCCCGCAACGAGCGCAACCCUUAAGCUUAGUUGCCAUCAUUAAGUUGGGCACUCUAAGUUGACUGCCGGUGACAAACCGGAGGAAGGUGGGGAUGACGUCAAAUCAUCAUGCCCCUUAUGAUUUGGGCUACACACGUGCUACAAUGGACAAUACAAAGGGCAGCGAAACCGCGAGGUCAAGCAAAUCCCAUAAAGUUGUUCUCAGUUCGGAUUGUAGUCUGCAACUCGACUACAUGAAGCUGGAAUCGCUAGUAAUCGUAGAUCAGCAUGCUACGGUGAAUACGUUCCCGGGUCU
rnacentral:rRNA from 1 species